AGGAUGAACGCUGGCGGCGUGCCUAACACAUGCAAGUCGAACGUCCUGUCUCGCAAGAGGCAGGGAGUGGCGGACGGGUGAGUACCACGUGGGUCAUCUACCGUGAGGUGAGGAAUACCGGCGAGAAAUCGCCGACAAGACCGCAUAGGCUCGAUGCAAGUCGAGCAAAGCUCUUUCGAGAGAGGGAGCGCCACACGAGGAGCCUGCGCCCGAUUAGCUAGCUGGUGGAGUAACGGUUCACCAGGGCGACGAUCGGUAGCUGGUCUGAGAGGACGAUCAGCCACACUGGGAUUGAGAACGGCCCAGACUCCUACGGGGGGCAGCAGUGAGGAAUUUUCGUCAAUGGGGGCAACCCUGAACGAGCAACGCCGCGUGCAGGAAGAAGGUUUUCGGAUCGUAAACUGCUUUUCUCGGGGAAGAGAAUGGACGGUACCGAGGAAUCAGCCCGGCUAACUACGCGCCAGCAGCCGCGGU
rnacentral:rRNA from 1 species